rnacentral:tRNA from 1 species
GGCUCGGUGGUCUAGGUGUAUGAUUCUCGCUUAGGGUGCGAGAGGUCCGGGUUCAAAUCCCGGCCGAGCCC